CCUACGGGUGGCAGCAGUGGGGAAUAUUGGGCAAUGGGCGCAAGCCUGACCCAGCAACGCCGCGUGAAGGAAGAAGGCUUUCGGGUUGUAAACUUCUUUUCUCAGGGACGAAGCAAGUGACGGUACCUGAGGAAUAAGCCACGGCUAACUACGUGCCAGAAGCCGCGGUAAUACGUAGGUGGCAAGCGUUGUCCGGAUUUACUGGGUGUAAGGGGCGUGUAGCCGGGUUGACAAGUCAGAUGUGAAAUCCUGCGGCUUAACCGCAGAACUGCAUUUGAAACUGUUGAUCUUGAGUACUGGAGAGGCAGAUGGAAUGCCUAGUGUAGCGGUGAAAUGCGUAGAUAUUAGGAGGAACACCAGUGGCGAAGGCAGUCUGCUGGACAGCAACUGACGGUGAGGCGCGAAAGCGUGGGGAGCAAACAGGAUUAGAUACCCGAGUAGUC
rnacentral:rRNA from 1 species